GUGUUGCUCCGUCCGUAUGGUAGGUAGUCCAUAUAUGUGAAGAUAAAAGAAAAAGGAAAAAGCUGCCAAUGGUGAAAUAUUGUAUUUUUUGGCAGCUUUUUCUUUUUUCUUUUAUCUUCACAUAUAUGGACUACCUACCAUACGGACGGAGCAACAC